UACGGAGGGGGCGAGCGUUGUUCGGAAUUAUUGGGCGUAAAGGGCGCGUAGGCGGCCGGCCAAGUCGGGUGUGAAAUCCCUCGGCUCAACCGAGGAACUGCACUCGAUACUGGCUGGCUCGAGUCCGGGAGGGGAUGGUGGAAUUCCCAGUGUAGCGGUGAAAUGCGUAGAUAUUGGGAAGAACACCAGUGGCGAAGGCGGCUAACUGGUCCGGUACUGACGCUGAGGUGCGAAAGCGUGGGGAGCAAACAGG
rnacentral:rRNA from 1 species